GACGAACCGUGCAAACGUUAUUCGGAAUCACUGGGCAUAAAGGGCGCGUAGGCGGCUUCAUAAGUCAGGGGUGAAAUCCGGCAGCUUAACUGUCGCAGUGCCUUUGAUACUGUGGAGCUCGAGGGAGGUAGGGGUCUGUGGAACUUCCGGUGGAGCGGUGAAAUGCGUUGAUAUCGGAAGGAACGCCGGUGGCGAAAGCGACGGACUGGAUCUCUUCUGACGCUGAGGCGCGAAAGCUAGGGGAGCGAACAGG
rnacentral:rRNA from 1 species